rnacentral:rRNA from 1 species
GACGAACGCUGGCGGCGUGCCUAAUACAUGCAAGUCGAGCGAAGUUUUUCUGGUGCUUGCACUAGAAAAACUUAGCGGCGAACGGGUGAGUAACACGUAAAGAACCUGCCUCAUAGACUGGGACAACUAUUGGAAACGAUAGCUAAUACCGGAUAACAGUAUUUCUCGCAUGAGAGAUAUUUAAAAGUUGGUUAUGCUAACACUAUGAGAUGGCUUUGCGGUGCAUUAGCUAGUUGGUGGGGUAAAGGCCCACCAAGGCGACGAUGCAUAGCCGACCUGAGAGGGUGAUCGGCCACACUGGGACUGAGACACGGCCCAGACUCCUACGGGAGGCAGCAGUAGGGAAUCUUCCGCAGUGGGCGAAAGCCUGACGGAGCAACGCCGCGUGAGUGAAGAAGGAUUUCGGUUCGUAAGCUCUGUUGUUAGGGAAGAAUGGAUAUGUAGUAACUAUACAUGUAAGAGACGGUACCUAACCAGAAAGCCACGGCUAACUACGUG